rnacentral:lncRNA from 1 species
CUUUGACUGAUAUGGUGGUGGGCUGGGGUGAGGAUCCCAAUUGGACAAUUCCAGUACACAACCCCAGGGAGGUAGGGGAGCCAGCACCAUGUCCCACAGCCCUUUCCUGUGUUCCUCCUGGUCAUACAUGGCCAAGCUUUUUAUGGAUCAAGAAUCCCCUCCCCUUCCCUGACUGGGCUGCAGCUUUAUUGCUGAGAUCCCAGACUCUCCACGCAAUUUCACGCCUCUCUGCCUUUGCUCCUGCUGUUCCCUCAGCCAAAUGUCUUCCCCAUUGUCCCUGUCUUGCCACAACCUCCUCAUUCUUCAAGGCCCAGAUCAGAUGCCACACUUCCUCAAGUCUCAUCUCCCCAGAACCUCCAGCUCCCCUCACUUUUGCCUCCCUUGUGGUCCCCUAGCCCUGCACCUGUGCUCCCUUCUGCUUUUGUGUCUGUAUUGCCUUGGGAAGGACAGAGGUGGAGCAUGUAUUCCCUUUGCCCCCUGCCCCCACAGGGCUUGGUACCCUGUGAAUGCUCCAUAAAUAUCUGUUGGCUGAGUAAAAGGAGUUUCCUAAGGGCAUGUAGCCAGGCAGCUUACAAAGCAUGGAAUCUGACCACUUCAGGUAAAUAGCUUUGCCCUCCUGGGUGGUGAAGACCCCUUGGGUGGGUCUCCUCCUUCUCUUCCCCCUCCUGCUCCUGCUCCUUUUCUUCCCCCUCUUCCUCCUUCUUGAUGGCCCUCCCCACCCCCCAAGUCUGGGGAGGACUUUGCCCCUUCUCUUCCCCACAGACCAGCAUUCUUUCCCUGCCAUUAUCAUCCUGUUAAACAGAGAGGCCAGUCAGGAUCCAUAUGGAUCACAUUAACAAUUGCUUAUUAUCUGGACCAAGACUCCCCCACUCUCCACCCCCAGCUCCUCCUGCUGCUGUUGUUGGACCCUUAGGAGCCCAGCUUCCCUCCCCCUCCCCCAGUCAGCUGAGGAGGGCAAGGGACAGGCUGGUCUCCCUCACCCUCCCUAAGCCUUCUAGCAGAACUUUGCCUCUUCUUGAUUUGGCAGUAAAUGACUCCUUUACUCUAUUUAAUGAAAAG